AUUGAACGCUGGCGGCAUGCUUUACACAUGCAAGUCGAACGGCAGCACAGGGAGCUUGCUCCCGGGUGGCGAGUGGCGCACGGGUGAGUAAUACAUCGGAACGUGUCCUGUUGUGGGGGAUAACUGCUCGAAAGGGUGGCUAAUACCGCAUGAGACCUGAGGGUGAAAGCGGGGGAUCGCAAGACCUCGCGCAAUUGGAGCGGCCGAUGCCCGAUUAGCUAGUUGGUGAGGUAAAGGCUCACCAAGGCGACGAUCGGUAGCUGGUCUGAGAGGACGAACCAGCCACACUGGGACUGAGACACGGCCCAGACUCCUACGGGAGGCAGCAGUGGGGAAUUUUGGGACAAUGGGGGCAACCCUGAUCCAGCCAUGCCGCGUGAAGGACUAAGGCCCUACGGGUCGUAAACUUCUUUAGACGCAGAGCAAUAAGGUCCACGCGUGGACCGAUGAGAGUAUGCGUAGAAUAAGCAUCGGCUAACUCCGUG
rnacentral:rRNA from 1 species